CAGUCGCCGCGGUAAUACGAAGGGUGCAAGCGUUACUCGGAAUUACUGGGCGUAAAGCGUGCGUAGGUGGUGGUUUAAGUCCGUUGUGAAAGCCCUGGGCUCAACCUGGGAAUUGCAGUGGAUACUGGGUCACUAGAGUGUGGUAGAGGAUAGUGGAAUUUCCGGUGUAGCAGUGAAAUGCGUAGAGAUCGGAAGGAACAUCUGUGGCGAAGGCGACUAUCUGGGCCAACACUGACACUGAGGCACGAAAGCGUGGGGAGCAAACAGGAUUAGAUACCCCCGUAGUCCCUGUCUCUUAUAA
rnacentral:rRNA from 1 species